AUCAUGCAUUUUUCUUGUUGUAUAACACCAUCCAUUUGAGGAUCCAUUUUUGUUCUGAGCGUCCUCCAUUUUCUUGUUCUAUUCCCAGGAGGAAGGCACAUUAUAAAGAUUCAACUAUUUUAGGAUCUGCUACACAUUUUAUGCAAGAGCUAGGACGAGAUGAUGUGACACGCCGGAUGAAAAUCGAACAUAUCUGCUAAUUUCUAGGAGACAUAAAUAAUUGUUGUUUGAGAUAUUUUUGUUUGGCAUAUAAAUUUGUAUUUGGCUAUAACGUUCUAUGAUGCAUAUUAGCUUUUGUUAUUACCCGCAAAAAAAAAGCUUUUGUUUUGGAUAAAUGUAUUGAAGUUCUUCCAAAAAAGAAUGCAAAUAUCUGUCGAAGUACUUUGGAGUAUUGAUCAUAGAUAUUUUAGGUUUCGGAAAUUUAUGUAUGGCAAAUAUUAAUUUUGAUCAAGAUAAUAUAUCUCCUGUGAUGCCUUUUUGCUCCACCUGUUGUUGUGCAACAUUGGUAUUUAGCUAGACCGUAUGUGUCCAAACAGCUUCCUGUGAGGUAAUGAAAUUAGAGCCUAAGUGGAAUUGAGAGGAUUCAUCCCUAGGGGAUUGGGUGACAAGCAGGGAUCAACCUAAUCCCCUAGUGGAAUAGUUCCACUUGGGGAUUAGUUCCCCUACGACCAAACAAGGCCUUAGUGAUUUCCCCCUUCACUCAGAAUUCACAGGGAUAGAUAGGUCUGAUUCGUGCGGGCACAAGGAUAGGGAAGGACAUUGAUGAAGAAGCUUGUUGAUGAUAACCUGAGGCUGCAGAAGAUGAUCAUUGAUAAGGACAAGGAGAUAGGUUUGAUGAAGGAACAGAGGAAGAGAAGCAACAGAACAAGAAAACGAACUGAAUGAAACUAUUUUGUGUGUUUGGGGUUUGUGCUGUUCCUGUCAUGUAUGCUGUGGUGGCUUUACUCGGUAGUAGAUUCGUUUGAAUGUUGGUCGGUAGAAGUGAAAGUUGUUAUGUCGUGAACAAAUUAUUGCCAGAAUACAAUUUGCAUCUUUUGUGUACCA